rnacentral:rRNA from 1 species
AGGACGAACGCUGGCGGCGUGCUUAACACAUGCAAGUCGAGCGGUAAGGCCUUUCGGGGUACACGAGCGGCGAACGGGUGAGUAACACGUGGGUGACCUGCCCUCCACUCUGGGAUAAGCCUUGGAAACGGGGUCUAAUACCGGAUAUGACCUUCCUCCGCAUGGGGGUGGGUGGAAAGCGUUUAGUGGUGGGGGAUGGACCCGCGGCCUAUCAGCUUGUUGGUGGGGUAGUGGCCUACCAAGGCGACGACGGGUAGCCGGCCUGAGAGGGCGACCGGCCACACUGGGACUGAGACACGGCCCAGACUCCUACGGGAGGCAGCAGUGGGGAAUAUUGCACAAUGGGCGGAAGCCUGAUGCAGCGACGCCGCGUGAGGGAUGACGGCCUUCGGGUUGUAAACCGUCUUUCACCUACGACGAAGCGAGAGUGACGGUAGUGGGAGAAGAAGCACCGGCCAACUACGUGCCAGCAGCCGC